UCUGGAUAGGGCGAAACGGAUCUCGCCUAGAGCUCCGCCGUUCGCCGGAGAUUUUCGCCACCGUAAGAGCCAGUGCCGCCGCAUCUCUUGCCCUCUUAGAUCCAUCUCUCCACGACCCACGUUUUUCACAAAGUCUUGUGGCCAGAAACCGAGCAGGGAGAGAGGAACGAGCUCGACCACCGUUUGCCGGAGCACUCCGGAGUUCGCGACGCCGCCGUCAGUAGAGGAUGCCCCCGUCGCCGUACUCACGACCACCGCCUCCGCCGCUCAACGCCGCACCCACCCAUCACUUCACCCUCGCCGGAGAGUCGCCGGAGCAGCGCCACCGCAGCCGCCGACUGCCGCCGCCGUUUUCCUCCGUACACGGUGAGCACGCACGCACAUGAGGUUUUUCAGCCAAUCAUGAACUUCCAUGUGGCACCUCGCUACAGGAGCUUCUACAGGAGUUCGCUACAGCGCCCAGGUUCUUUUUUGUUGUUUUCCGUUUUCUUUUUCAGAUUUCAGCUAAAACUUCAGCUAGGUAUAUCUUCUAUUCUAUAAGUCCAAUUUAGGUAAUUCUUUACCCUAUGCACUCAAGAAAAUCUGUACUUUAUCACAGUACCAACUUUGCACAUGUUUGCACCUUUUAAAUUUUAAUUCGUUCAAAUUUGAAUUAAAACUUCCGGUGAUUUGAGUGUUUCUUUUUGCAUUGUGACUGUAGUGCAAUUUAGGUGCUGUUAAGCAACUGUUGUUGGAUUUUGAAAUGGUUUUCUUGCUAUUGGUUUUGUUUUGGUUCUAUUUGUGUUCCGGUGAUUGAUUUGUGGAAUUGUGUGAAACGUGUAGAUUGUCUGGAGUGCGACGUAAACCUUUGUCAGGAGUGUAACUUUCUGAACCAGAACCAAGGCAAGUUACAUGUUGACCAUCCUUUACCUAUUGUUUUCUAUGCAUGUAGUUAUAUCACACUAUGAAAAUAUGCAUGUAUAGGAUUACUAUAUAAUUUUGCUAUGUUGUUGAGCUAUCAUCCCAUCUUUUGCAAAUCGUGGUAGUUAUAGUUUGUUAUGCUUUGUAGACGGGGGUGGUUCAUGUAUCCAUUGGGAUUAUGUGAAGAUUAUAUAUAUAUAUAACAAAUUGAGUAUUAAUAAAGGAUUUAACUCACCUCUGGGCGGAACUGGUAUUGAUGGGUGGUUUCAAGAACAUCAUGGUUUAUACCCUUUGAAUUUAAGUGGAUGGCCACCCAGGCUCAAAAAGAUCAGACAGACUUAGUGACUAGUAGCUUCCAUGCGCAACCACUAGCUAAAUGGCCUCCGGCUUAGUUGAGUAGGUUGUGGGACCCUUGCCCAGGUAAGCUAGCAGAUGUAGAUAUGAGUAGGUGUACCGACUGCCACUGGGUGGAGGUGACUACUUCUGAAAGACUUCGUCUCAAUCUUCGGGUUGGGUCUAGUGGGUAGAGUGUGCAAAACUCUGUAGAGUACUAAAAACUAAUCAUGAUUAGCCGUGUCCCCGGUUAUGCACAAAUUUGAGCGACUAUGCCAUUACAGUUGUUUGAUGAUCUUGACAGAUGUGACACUUAAUAAUAUUUGUGGGCAACUUAAUAAAAGGGUAGGUUGGAGUUGAUUUUGCCAACUCAACCUUGUGUAUAUAACUGUAGUAAUAAAAGAACUAAAUAAAAAUUUGACUAUUAGGUAGUUAUGAGGACAAAAUCAGCUUUCUGCAAAAAUAAAGCCUGAAGCCUUCCUGUUGUUAUACUAUGCAUAUACAAAUAGGUCUGCUUUAUUAUUACUCCUGCGUAACUUGCCAAUAUAUUCAAAGUAUUGACCUAUAUGGCCGCAAAGUCUCAUGUUGCAGGAUAUUCAGACGAAUAGUAAGGUACCGUUAGGGUCGUGCGUCUGCACUCAGCAUCGCCAGUGGGCUAUGAUGGGACUCAUCAUUAUUUUUUGCUACUUUCCGUUGUUUGAUUGAAUAAAGCUAGCCAUGUGAUAUGCAUAUUGUUUUAUUUUAUAUAUUCUGGAUCAUACGUUGUAAUAAAUGAUGCACUUGCUUUUAUGGUAUUCAUCUAUAUUGUGUGUGCUAGCGAGUUCGAUCCAGGGACUAGCACGGUAAGCACAGAGACUCAAAUCCUUCGAGGUUUGGUCAUUACAAAUGAACAUGUUUCCAAUGACAAUUAGAGAUCAUAG
rnacentral:lncRNA from 1 species